rnacentral:rRNA from 1 species
AUGUGGUAUCAGUCGCCUCUCACUUCCCUUCCACCACGCUGGAGAUCCGGCAGCAAACGAGUGUGCGUGUCCACCUCUCCACCAUGGAUCUGGCGCUCAAGGCCUACCUCGACAAGCUCACGGAGACUCUGGCCAGCCACAACACGCGCGCCGACAUCAAGGGGAUCAAGGCCUAGAUCGACAGCAACACGACGCAAGUGGAGGAGCUCACGGCGUGGAAGCCGGAUUUCGAAGCCCGCCUCUCCAAACUCCAGGAGACCGCCGUGGGGAUGCAAGAAGCGCUGCCCACAUCAGCGGCGGUGCCAAUCGGUGGAUCCCUGGCCGCGGAUCGCCCCGAUCCGGCCGCGUGCGCCACGAUCCACGGGCUCGAUGGCCACGGCGAGGACAAUCAAGUACAGAGCGAGCUCUUGGGGGAAAUUCGUCUAA